rnacentral:rRNA from 1 species
AUUGAACGCUGGCGGCAGGCCUAACACAUGCAAGUCGAGCGGAUGAAGGGAGCUUGCUCCUGGAUUCAGCGGCGGACGGGUGAGUAAUGCCUAGGAAUCUGCCUGGUAGUGGGGGAUAACGUCCGGAAACGGGCGCUAAUACCGCAUACGUCCUGAGGGAGAAAGUGGGGGAUCUUCGGACCUCACGCUAUCAGAUGAGCCUAGGUCGGAUUAGCUAGUUGGUGGGGUAAAGGCCUACCAAGGCGACGAUCCGUAACUGGUCUGAGAGGAUGAUCAGUCACACUGGAACUGAGACACGGUCCAGACUCCGACGGGAGGCAGCAGUGGGGAAUAUUGGACAAUGGGCGAAGGCCUGAUCCAGCCAUGCCGCGUGUGUGAAGAAGGUCUUCGGAUUGUAAAGCACUUUAAGUUGGGAGGAAGGGCAGUAAGUUAAUACCUUGCUGUUUUGACGUUACCAACAGAAUAAGCACCGGCUAACUUCGUG